rnacentral:rRNA from 1 species
AACGAACGCUGGCGGCAGGCUUAACACAUGCAAGUCGAACGCCCCGCAAGUGAAGUGGCAGACGGGUGAGUAACGCGUGGGAACAUACCCUUUCCUGCGUCAUAGCCCCGGUAAACUGGGAUUAUUACCGCAUACGCCCUACGCUGGUAAGAUUUAUCGGGGAAGGAUUGGCCCGCGUUGGAUUAGCUCGUUGGUGGGGUAAAGGCCUACCAAGGCGAGGAUCCAUAGCUGGUCUGAGAGGAAGAUCAGCCACAUUGGGACUGAGACACGGCCGAAACUCCUACGGGAGGGGGCAGAGGGGAAUAUUGGAAAAUGGGGGGAAGGAUGAUCCAGCCAGGCCGCGUGAGUGAUGAAGGCCGGAGGGUUGUAAAGCUCUUUAACCGAUGAAGAUAAUGACGGUAGUCGGAGAAGAAGCCCCGGCUAACUUCGUG